UGAUCGGCUUGAACUGGCAAGGUAUACCUAUGGAACUGCUAUUGAAGUCUUCACAUGAGCUUAGGAUAAAGUUUCAUUUCUUCUUUUUUUUUUUCUUUAGCUUACAGUGCUUGAAUGAAACACUCACAUCAUGCACAAAAGAAGUAGGAAAGGCUGCUUUGGAAAAACAGAUAGAAGAAAUAAAUGAGCAAAUCAGAAAAGAGAAAGAGGAAGCUGAGGCUCGUAUGCGACAAGCAUCUAAGAACACAGAGAAAUCAACUGGUGGAGGUGGAAAUGGAAGUAAAAAUUGGUCAGAAGAUGAUCUACAAUUACUAAUUAAAGCUGUGAAUCUGUUCCCUGCUGGAACAAAUUCAAGGUACUGGUUUUAAUGAAACUUUUCUUCAACUCACACUGGAGCCUGGAGAUAAUGUAGACAGACUCCAAAUAGCAGCACUUGUUAUCACAGAAACUUGCAGACAUAAAUUCUGUGCCACAGUAGAAAA
rnacentral:sRNA from 1 species